GUUUGUCAUUUACUAGCUUGUGAGCACGUUGAGAACAGAGAUGGAAGGGUCUUUUCCACCUUUGUGUCCCCCACACCAGGUAUAAUGAAGCACAAAAUGUGGAGAUUGCACAGUCAAUGUGAAUUGAAUGAGUGAAUGAAUUAAUGAUCAGCCAAAUUAAAAGAUGGUAUUUUUGUGCACAUGAUUUCUAAUCCUUAUUGAGAGCUUAUAAUUCAUCAAAAGGAUAUUAAGAGACUGGCAAUAUCUCUGGAAUAGAAGAAUAAAUGUCAGCACUGUAUAUCUCCCACAUGAAGCAUCAGGAUCCAAUGGAAAGAAAAAAGAACCUGAGACCCAGAGACACCUAUGCACCUUUUUUUGACUCUGUUACUAUGUCAGCUGCCUGACCCUGACUAAGUUACUCAAGGCUUGAAGCUCUCAAUCGUCUCCUCUUUAAAAUAAGAAUAUACAGCCUCGCAGGCAAAAGGCCCUGGGUUCAAUCCCCAGCACCAAAAAAAUA
rnacentral:lncRNA from 1 species